UUGCUUUUGCAACACAUAUAGUACAACUGGAAUGAUACAGAAAAGAUUAGCAAGGCCUCUAUCAAAGGAUGGCUCACAACUUCAUGGUAUGUUCUACAUUUUA